UACGGAGGGAGCUAGCGUUGUUCGGAAUUACUGGGCGUAAAGCGCACGUAGGCGGCUUUGUAAGUUAGAGGUGAAAGCCCGGGGCUCAACCCCGGAAUUGCCUUUAAGACUGCAUCGCUUGAAUCCGGGAGAGGUGAGUGGGAAUUCCGAGUGAUAGAGGUGAAAUUCGUAGAUAUUCGGAAGAACACCAGUGGCGAAGGCGGCUCACUGGACCGGCAAUUGACGCUGAGGUGCGAAAGCGUGGGGAGCAAACAGG
rnacentral:rRNA from 1 species